rnacentral:lncRNA from 1 species
AUGAUAAUAACAUUUAGCACUUCUGUAAGCACCUGGGAUGCUCCAAGCACCUACGCAUCUGCUCCUCAUUACCACCCCGCUUCCCAUUUGCAGCAUCUCUGCCCCCUGCCCACGCACACCUCCGGCAGUGAUAGCUCACCCCUAAAAACAGGGCUGCCCCCAGCUUUCCCCUGGUCCUCUCCUUUGGGGCGGGGAGCUGCAGCCUUGUUCUGCUUUGGGGCUGGGGCGGAGGCUGCCUUCCAGGAAUGGGAAGAGCAAUCCACGUCCUCUGGUGUGACAGCCUAUGGGCCUGGGGACAUGUGGCAGCUUGGUGCAGCAGAGGAGCUCUUGGGGGCUGUAUCUCCAGGAGGUCCCCUGGGGCUGUCAGAUGUGAUGGGCAAGAUGCAAACUGCGGCUGCAAAGUCCUAACCCAGCGGCUGGGCUGUGUCAGGAAGAACCACGUCAGCUGUGGCCAGUUGGGGCUGCCGUGGAGGAGCCAACCUGCUUCACAAAGCGCCAUUAAAGCCAAGGCUCUGGGAGCGCAGCUGGCUCGGACAAACGCUAGAGCUGUCCCACGGCACUGGAACACGCAAGGCUGUGGCCAGGAUUUUUACCCAUUUUGGUUAAAGUGUGGGGUCAUCAUAGUGUUUUAGGAUGAACUGGUGAGACGGUGCUACUGCCACGUGAUGCUCAGGUGGGCAGCCCCUUGUCCCCGUGGAUUAUCAGGACAUUCAAAGCCUCCCUGGAUGGAGAGCACUCCGUGUCCAGCUCUCUUCCCCAGCUGCUCUUCCACCAAGUGAAUCUGCAAAGAUGAAUUUGUCCGAUUUAGACGUUCAGGUGCUUUCACAAAUCACCUGGGCCCUUUCCAUCUCCACAGCCAGCUGGGGGCUCGUACAGGGGGAGCAGGGCCCAUCAGCAUAUGCAAGCCUGGGAAUGCCUCCAGAGCAGCCUGGGAUGUUGGCCUGAGCCUGCUGGUGGGCAAUGCAGACGCAUCUGCAGAUGUGACUAUCUCUAUUAAAGCCAUAAAAUACUCUCCGAGCCCUGGGGAGGGCUGACAGCAUGGGGUUCAGGCACGGUUUGCUUAGGAUUGCUGGUGAGGUCUUCCUCCGUUUUCCUCCACUGUUUCAGGCCCUGGUUCUCCACCACGCGCUGGAGGUUUGCUUGUAACACAUUGCUGGUGCUACAUCAAGGGCUUUGCAGGGAUGAUUCCCCCCUGAUCAAAGCGGCCGAUUCAAGCUGCAGCAUGUACGGGGAGGAGGGAGGCAGCCACCUGUUAGGGAAAUGCUUUGAAAACGCAGAGGACGUGCUGCAGAGGUUGACCUUGUGAAACGGACACUGCAGCACCGGGUAGCAGAGCGGUACAGGGCUUGGAGCGAGUGCUCGGCAUUCAAAGCCUCAGUUCUUGAGUGUUUGAGGGCAUUCAGGAGCCUGUGGUCGUGCCAGGGCCGUGACAGGGCAGCCUGAGCCCUGGUUUUG